UUAUGGCUCAGUUGGUAGAGCGUGAGAUUCUGAAUCUCACGGUCCUGGGUUCAAGCACCACACUGCGCAA